AGAAUCUACAAAGGUAAUCAAAAAGUAUAGAUGGUACAAAUGAUCCUACACUGAAGAAGCUUCUUCGAUCAGAAGUAAAAUAUCUUCAAGGGAAAACAAAGUCCUUUUGGAAAAGUAUUACACAUAUACUGCUCAAAGCUCAUCUCCAAUAAGAAUCCAGAGUUGAACAUUACAGAGUUGCAUCACAGCCUGAGGCUUGGCUGUCCAUGCAACAGAAAAAAACAAAACAAAACAUUCAGGCUUGCUGGAAGCAGAUAUACCAAUUUAGCAUACAGUUGAAACACUUAAAGAAGACAGGUUGGCACCAUUGCAUACUUGUACCCUAAAGUAUUUUGUUUCAUCAAGAACAACAAAGAAUUGUGCAACAGAUUAAAGAGAAUCGUUUUAAUGCAGUCUGCAAAGUCAAUCUUCAAAGAGUUCUAUGGCAGCUAAAAAAACAGGUGAAAGAUAACUAUUUUAUUAUAAUCUAAA